rnacentral:rRNA from 1 species
GCACGUGCUAGUUCAUACAUACCAAAUGUGAGACUGCGGACGGCUCAGUAAAUCAGUUAUAAUCUGCUCGAUUGUAAUGGUUAGUGGAUAACCGUGGGAAAUCUAGAGCUAAUACAUGCAAUUUAGGUGCGAGCGAUCGUGCUAUGGCAUUUAUUAGACAAUGACCAACCGUAGGCUUGCCUACGUGGUGAAUCUAGAUAACUGUGCAGAUCGUAUGGCCUUGAGCUGACGACAUUUCGAUUGAAUUUCUGCCCUAUCAACUAUUGUCGGUAGUGUAGUGGACUACCGAGGUUGUUACGGGUGACGGGGGAUCAGGGUUUGAUUCCGGAGAGGGAGCCUGAGAAACGGCUACCACAUCCAAGGAAGGCAGCAGGCGCGCAAAUUACCCAAUCCAGACAAUGGGAGGUGGUGACGACAAGUACCAGAUGACGGUCAAAGACUGUCAGUCGGGAAUGGUGCCAAUUUAACACAUUGGCUGAGAAACUACUGGAGGGCAAGUCUGGUGCCAGCAGCCGCGGUAAUUCCAGCUCCAGUAGCGUAUCUCAAAGUUGCUGCGCUUAAAACGCUCGUAGUUGGAUCACAGGCUGUGCGUCGGUGGGGGAAUGAGGGUGCACCAAGUUCGGAGCGUAAUUCGUGUGUCAUCACACAAUUUGACAAUCUGGAUGGUGCGUCGUUGUGACCGUGUGCCGGCGUGCAGCAAUUUGCACGUGAGGAUAGGCACUGGCCUGGAGUGAGCCGGUGUUUGUGUCUCACGGAGUGUGCCUUGAGUAAAUCAGAGUGCUUAAAGCAGGCUUGCAGCUUGAAUGUUAUUAGCAUGGAACGAACAAUCGUGUACGGUGUAUGCUGAGUAUGCAUGUUGGACAGUGUUCUUCAUCAUCAGCAUACGACACCGACCGCCAGUUACGGAUGUUGGUUCCGUAUUGGGGUAUCGAUUAAGAGGAGCGGUUGGGGGCAUUGGUAUUUGGCAGCGAGAGGUGAAAUUCUUGGACCUGCCAAGGACUAACAAAUGCGAAGGCAUCUGUCCAGACCGUAUCCAUUAAUCAAGAACGAUAGUGAAAGGUUCGAAGACGAUCAGAUACCGUCCUAGUUUUCACUGUAAACUAUGCCGACCCGGGAUCAGUUUGGAGCCAUUCCAUGCUCGGAGUUGGUCCCCCUGGGAAACCUCAAGUUUUUCGGUUGCGGGGGGAGUAUGGUCGCAAGGCUGAAACUUAAAGGAAUUGACGGAAGGGCACCACCAGGGGUGGAGCCUGCGGCUUAAUUUGACUCAACACGGGAAAACUUACCUGGUCCGAACAUCUAAAGGAUACACAGACCGAUAGAUCUUUGUUGAUGAGGUGAAAAGUGGUGCAUGGCCGUUCUUAGUUCGUGGAGUGAUCUGUCAGGCCAAUUCCGGUAACGAACGAGACUACUGUCUCCAUUUGACGGACCAGAGAAGGUGCCGCUGUCGUCGCUGGCAACGGUGGCUGGCAGUCGGCGCUGUGGGCAGCCUGGGUUUGUCGGCGCUUGUCUUGUUGUUUCAGCAGGGCGAGCUCGGCUGGGCCGGGGUUCCCUCUGGUUGCACAAUGUGUUGCCUUGGCAGUGCAUUGUAUCAUGGAGAGACAGCGGAAUAUAUUACAAAAUCCGAGGAAGUGUAGCUAUAACAGGUCCGUGAUGCCCUUAGAUGUUCAGGGCUGCACGCGCGCUACAAUGAUAUCAACAGCGAGUAUUUGAAUCGAAAGAUUUGAGUAAUCUUGCAAUUGGUAUCGUGAUGGGGAUCGACGUUUGUAAAUACGUCGUGAAAGAGGAAUCCCUAGUACGUGCGAUUCAUGUAGAUCGCGCGGAUUGCGUCCCUGCCCUUUGUACACACCGCCCGUCGCUACUACCGAGUGAAUCGUGUCAUGAUACCUUGGGAGCGGACGUCGCCUGGGGCUUGCCUUGGUGCGAUGCUGCAAUCAGCGUAAAAUG